ensembl:lncRNA
CAGAGUAGAGCUGAUCUCUUCAUGGCAUCCAGGAAGGGCCAGGGCUAAGAUAUGCUUUCAAUGGCACGCCUCCAGAGACUCAUCUCCUCCAAGAGUAUUUUUCUACAGUGUCUUCACCUCCUAAUAGUUUAUUCAGAUUUGAAUCCACCAAAUGGAUCAAUCCAUUCAUUAGGUUCAAAAUCUCAUAAGCUAGCUGUGUCUUACACUCACACACCCUGAAGCAUGUUUCACUGAUCUUCUAGAUCCCUCUCAAUCCAAUGAAUUUAACAAUAAAGAUUAACCAUUACGAUGGCUAUAGACAUAGGUCAUAAUCAGACAUUGGUUUGAGUCUUGGUUCUGCCAAAUGUUUGUUGAAUGACUCAGACCAAGUUACUUAACCCAUAACCUGUGACAUUUGGCUCCCAUCUCCAUAAAACAAUGAAGGUUUUUAUAACACAUAGAUAUUGUGAAAAUUUCCUCCCAUGAUUUGUUUUUGUUUAUUUUGAGACAGAAUCUCACUGUUUUGUCCAGACUGCCCUCAAACUCACAGCAAUCCUCCUGCCUCAUCUCCACAGUGCAGGUGUACAUCAUUAUGGCCAGCUAUGGUUUCUUAAGUUGUAUACCUGAUAAAUCUCAGGUGAUAUAAUGUCUAAUGUCUAUCCAAUAAAGAGUUCAACUGGCCAGUUCUUAGUAUUGUGAACAUUGAGCAAAAGGCUCAACAAAACAAAACAAACAAACAAACCAAAACCCGAUCUGGUUCCUUCUCAUGACAAGAAACCUUCUUACUGCCACAUGGAGGACUGGCCCUAUCAUAGUACUUGACACAGUAAGUAGGACACAGAAUUGGAUUCUGUAUGUCCAUUGGUUCCCGGGGAACCUGGGUUUUCACAUCCUUGCCAGAUCACUGAGCUUCACAAAGCAGAGUGAGCUGUAGCCCACAUCUGAGUAACCGACAUUUCCAUCCAGGCCUGGCAACAGCAGGAGUGUGAAAUAGGAUUGAAGAAUAAAUGUUGAAGGUGCGCCAAAAGAUGAACUGUGAUCCGGGAUGGUAAAGUCUCUUUAUUCAAGAAAACACCGGGGCAAAGCGCAGGCCAGAGUGAGGUUACAGGAAACCAGCAAGCUAGGCCAGAAAAGGGCUAGGGUCUUCCGGUGCCGCCCUUAAGAAGCUCCCUUACAUCACACCGGCUUUCCUUCACCACGUCCUUAUGGCCGAGUCCCGGGUCCACCUGGCACCUGUCCCAUGACUAUUGGGCGGGGCUAGGGUGUCUCCCUACAGAGGAUGCUUCACUUUAUACUUAUUAUAUUAAAGUUUUUUUGUUGUUUUGUUUUUGUUUUUCUUUUUUGGGAAAUCAGUGGGUUUGUUGACUGGCCUGUGGAAGCUUCUGGAUUUAUCAUUAGCAAGUACAAAUAUAUAAUAAGUAGUUUAUAAUUGUACAGUGAGCAUGCAUAUCUAUAUAUGAUGGCUCAUAUGACUUAUAAGUCAUAUGAGUAACUUGUGCAUUAGAUAUAAUUCAUCCCACCCCUGACAAGUAUCUUCUUAGCAUUUUCUUUUCUGCAGAGAAGAUACACAUUUUACAAAGAAGCCUCCUGCCCUGGCAGAAGCUGGCUAAUUUUUAGCUCUUAUAUUGGGUAGACAAAUUUGUCUCUAGAAUAUAGUAUUAGAAAGUCCUCCUGCAAACAGAUAGCUCAUGCAGGGGAGGGGGCUUUAUCUCGUUAUUUUGAAUCUGUCUCAUGAUGGAUUUUGGACUUGGGCAGAAGAAAGAAAAUGUUUUUUAUUUUUAUUAUUACUUCUGCAUAAACAAAACUCAAGAUUUGGUUCUUUGAAAACAUCAACAGCAUCAAUCUUUAGCCCAUCUGAGUGGGGAAACUCAAAUUGUUAAAAUUAGAGAUGAGAAAGGAGAUUAUAACAGAUUCUACCAUCAGAUCUGAAGGAUCAUUCACAAAUAUUUUGAAUAUCCAUUUUCUAAACAUACAUUCUAACAUAUUCUAAGUUGGAAAACUUAGUAAAACAGGUUAAACUCCUAACACAUAUAACCUGCCAAAAUUAAAUCAAGAGGAUGUAAACAAGUCAACAGAUUCAAAGCGAGCACACCAGUAAUGAAGAGUCUACCAGCAAAGACUAGCCCAGGACCUGAUGAAUUUACUUCUGUGUCCUACUAGACCUUCAGAGAAGACCCAAUGCUGACACUCCUCAAACUGUUCCAUAAAUUAUAAAGAGAAGGGCCAUUGCCUAAGUCAUCCUAUUAAGUCAUCACCAGGUAAGAAUAUAACAACAAAAAGAAAUUAUACUAAAAAUGUCCCAAAGAUUCCACCAUAAAACUUUUAUUCAUGAUAAGCACUUUAAGAAAAUAGCAGGAUACAGUAUCAACACACAAAGUCGGUAGCCUCUUUAUAUAUCAAUAAUGAAAAUGCUGAGAAAGAAAGAGAAGAAGAGAAUCCCACCCACAAUAGCUUUACAAAAAAAAAAAAAAAGCCAAAGAACAAAUCUAAGCAAGAAGGUAAAAGACCUUUACAAUAGAAAGUUUAAAACUCUGAAGAAAGACAUUGAAGAAGAACCAGAAGAUGGAAAGAACUCCCAUAUUAAUGGAUUGGCAGAAUUAAAUUGAUGAAGACAGCAGUAUUUAUGAAAGUGAUUUACAGACCUGAUGCAACCCUACCAAAAUUCCAAUGAUAUUUUUCACAGAAACAGGAAAGAAAUCUUAUUCAUAUGGGAAGUACAUAAGAACCUAAAUGCCCAAAGCAAUCUUAAGUGGAAAGAGCAAUUCUUAGAGGCAUCACAGUAUCUGAUCUCAAAUUAUACAAUGGAUCUAUAGUAACAAAAACAGGCUAGUACUGGCAUAAAAAACAGACACAUAGAGCAAGCAUAGAGGACCCCAAAAUACAGCCCUGUACUUACAGUCCAUAAGUGUUAAGAAAAGUGUUAAAAACGUGUAUAGGGAGAAAAGCUUCUUCAGCAAAUAGUGCUGGGGAAAUUCACAGGAACAGUAGUGAAACUAGAUCUAUAUCUCCUACCCUACAUAAAAUGGAUCAAAGAUCUUACUACAGACCUGAAGCCCCCUGAAACUGGUAGGGGAAAACACUUGAAGGUUUAGGUAUAGACAAUAACUUCCUAAAAAAGGAUUCUAAUAAACUGGAAAUAAUCCUAAGAACUGACAAAUAGGUCACUUGAAAUUAAGAAACUCCCAGACAGCAAAUAAACCAUCAAUUGAGUGAAAAGCCAGUCUACAGAAUGGAAAAAAAUCUUUCCCAGCUCUUAUCCAAUAGGGAAUUGAUAUAUGGAAUCUAUAAACAAAAUGUUGUAUCCAAAAAAUUAAAUACCCCCCAAAAUCCAAAUCAUUCAGUCAAUAAGUGAAUUAAGCAGACAGUUCUCCAAGAAAGAAAUAUAAACGCCAAUAAAUAUGUGAAAAAGUAUUUAAUAUCCUUAUCCAUCAGAGAAAUGCAAGUUAAGAUCUCAUUGAAAGUUCAUCUCACCCCAGUCAUAAUGGCUAUCAUCAAGAAAACAAAUGACAGCAAAUGCUGGUAUGGACCUGGGAAGACAGAUAUCCUUAUAUACUACUUGUGUCAAUGGAGAUUUGUGUAGCCACUUUGGAAAUCAGUGUAGAGAUUACUAAAAAAAAAAAAAAAAAAAAACUGAAACUAUAACUACUAAAUGAUCUACCUAUACCACUCCUGGGUAAAUACACAAAGAAGUCUAAGUUAGCAUACUACAGAUGUAUGUAUACAUCUAUGUUUAUUGCCACACUUCAUAAUAACUACACAUGCCCAUCAAACAGAUGAAUGGAUAAAGAAAACAGGGAAAACGUGCAAAAUACAAUUUUAUUCAGCUGCAAAGAAAUGAAAUCAUGACUUUUGCAGGAAAGUGGAUGGAACUGGAUAUCAUUAUGUUAAAUGAAACAAGUCAGACUCAAACACCAGGAUUCCUCUCAUACAUAGAAAGCCAACUUAAAUCUGAGCAUCAUAUAUAUGACAUGCAGGUGGAAAGGGACCACUGGGGUGGGGAUAGUUAGGUCUAAAGGGAGCAGGGGGGAUAAGAGAAGGUAAUGGAAGGUGUAUAUACUUUGAGUGGAGCAGAGAACUUUUCUGGGAGGUGAGAUGGGGAGGGUGGGGGCACUAGCAAUGGGAGCAAACCAUAAAGAUAUGAAUGUGUGAAAAUGUCACAAUGAAGCCCAUUUCUGUAUGCAAUAACCUACUUCGAAAAAAACAAAACAAAACAAAACCCCAGCCCUUUAAAGCUCUGAAUUUCAGUGUUGAUUGAGCUACUAGAAUUAGUCAGUUAUUAGAUUACAUCUCACCUGGUCUCCUCUAUGCCUGUGGGGUUGGCAUUGUUACCUCCAUCUUACAGAAGAACUGAGAUGACAGUCAUAGAGAAUCAGUAAAGGGUGGGGCUUAAGGACCACAGGGCCUGGACCCCAAAGUUCCUCCUCAUUCUGUUCUGCAGGGGCAUGCAAAUAGUUGGUAGAAGAAACAUUAUCUUUUCUGGAGAUUAAAUAUUUCAAGCCAAACAUGCAAACCAAGGGAAAGUUGAAGUGCUCUGGUUGUUGCAUGGGUGGGAAGGGGUGUGCUCAAGGGCUACUCAUCUCAUUCUCCCACUUGUACUCUCAGUGGUAACCCUAGGUAUGUCUUUGUGGCUUCUCUGAUUACAGCUUGCAAGCCAUGGCCUCUCUGAGUUUCCAACCUAUCUUCUCAACGAGAUUUCUCAUGUGGGGGUAGGGGUGGGGGUGGGGGUGGGGAUGACCCAAGGACAGUUCUCGGUUUCAAGGACAGGCAUAGGAAACUGCCAACCAGCAGCCACUUGGAGAGUCAGAGCUCUGUUUUGGAUGCUCCUGACCUGAGAAUACCCUGGUCUAGCAUGCCAGGCUGGGAAGAAAAAUGACCUGUGAUGACAGCACAGUCCUCUAAAAAGUGCCACUCAGUCCAAGCUAAUCUUGCCAAACACAGAGUGUUGAGGGUUGAAUGGUAACAAGGGCACAGCCCAAGAAGCCUCCACCUUGCUGUUGGACAGGGACAGGAACACACGAAGAACACUGCGUGAUUCAGAUGGAAGGGAACGAAACGAGGAAGAACAAAUGGUCCCAUGUGCAAUUCUUUCCUUUUAUACAAGUGAAAGGUCUAAUUUACGAAUCCUGUAAACACUACCGACUGUGGAAAGAUUUGGCCAUAUGGAAAGGUUUCCUACUGCUGUCUUGGCUGGGGGGAAUAUUCAGAAGUUUGGAGUAAUUGUCAGAAAUUAGUCACAGCGCCGUUGCAGGGGAUGAAGUCAGCAUUGCAGCCCGGUGUGGGGGUGGAGUUGCCUUCAAUCACAAUGUUUCUGUGAAGGUUUUUUUUCCCCCCCUCAUUUCCUUUCUGAGGAGAAGAAUUUCUGAACCUUUCUAGUAACCAAGUCUUUGUUCAGUACCUAGGAAACAUCAUGUUUCAGAAGCCUCUGAUGAUUAUAGCUCUCAUUUUAGACAGGCUUUAUCUUUCUUGCCUUCAUUAAGUGGGGGCAGCCCCUUUCAUCUUGGUGGGUUAUCCAUGUACAGGCUCCAGAAUUUGUUUGGGUUUAUGGACUAAAGGAGUGGUGAGCUACUGGGUUCGUCUGCACCCUUGCUUUGAAAACUGACAAAGGACUCAAUUGCUUGAUUAGGGAAUAGAGAAGCAGAAUUCAUAGGUUUUUCUAGAAUAGUAACCCCCAGAGAUAAUGGGUCAUGUUAGUAUUAAUUUUGUGGUAUAUCUCCCCCAAAUUUAGUGGUUGAAAUUAAUUAUUAUGCCACAAGAGUCAGAUAUAGAAACAGGCUGGCAGAACUCAAUGUCUCCCAUGAGGCUGCAGUCAGAUGGUGGCUGGGCUGUUGGAACUGGAUAUCCAGGUUGGCUUGUGUAUGUGCCUGGCAGCUGGCACUGUCUGUUGACUGGAAACUCAGUUGAGCUGUUGGCCAGAAGCCUAUGCACGUGGCUUCAGAGGCACAGAAGUCCCAGGGGCACUAGAGUUCUCCCAUGGGGGUAUAGGUGGGCUCCUCAAGAAUAAGGGACUGGGCAGAAGCAGCGUGGUCUGGCAGUCGCAGAGCUUGUGUCUCAUGGCUUCUGCUGCUUUGACUUACUUGCAGCAGAGUCUCACAGAGGCCAGAUUCAAGGAGCCGAAAGUAGUUAACAUGUCUUGAUGAGAGGAGUGCCAAGGUGUUUCUGGUACCAGGCAUAGUCUCCUGAGUGAGAGUCCACAGAGAGUUAUCCUUUCCCACUUGCACUCAUUUUGGGGGGCGUAAGUGCCCAGUUUUCUCUAACUUUCCUCUUUGUCCAGUGCCAAGGGAAGAAACUUUAUGUGGUUUUUCUCUCUUUUCCUCUAAAUUCUUAAUUUAAAAAGAAAUGUAUCUCAGCUGUUUACAUGUGGGCUGACAAAUGUACCGUGUGUACAGUCCUGUGAUGUGAUGGGUUCCUGGAUCAUGAGCUCACGAUCCAGCUCAGUGAGGAAGAAAGCCUGUUUUAGUUCAUGUGUAUGAAAAUGUGCAGCACUAUUACCAAGCCAGUGCGGAAAACAAUGCUCCUUGAAGAAGAGGAGACUGAAAGAUUCUUAUGCCAGAGGCUGGAGAAGAAUGCUUAGAAAUAAUGUCUUCUGGAUGUGACAGAGCCAUUAUAGUCAUUAUAGUCAAUUGUCAGCAUAAGACACGCACAAAAUCAAGCCAUAAACAUGCCAGUAUGAACAGGGAAUGGACUCAUGAGCUAUUGGCAGUUGAUGGCCACUAGAAGAGGGACAGUCAGUUUUCUUCAGCUGUUUGUACCCUCACGUAGGGGUGUAUGUAGCUAUGAUCUACAUUCAUCGUAUUCAUUGAGAAAAAAUAAAAUUUAAGAAAAAGGACAAUUCUAUUGGGAAUUGGGAAUUUCUGAGACUUGAGGAAGGAUCAUGGAGAAGGAAAGCCUAUCAACCCGGAUGGGGCUGACUGUCAAGGUGUUUCUGGGCUGGCUCUCACACACCCCUGGGUGGAGAAGAGCAACAUAGAGAUUGAAUCACAAUUUUUAACUUUCUGUAUUUUAUCUAGAACUCUCCCUGGAAGGGAUCAGAUGUUGACAGAUACUAUGGUGUAAUGAGAAGUCUUUCUGACAAAGCCACCCAAGCCUUGCCACCUCAUGGGCGCUUUCUGCCAGGCCACCCAAGUUCCACCCACCACCAUGUUAAGGUCCCAAGUAACACAGAGAGACUUAUAUUAAGUUACAAUGCUGCUGGCCAAUCCCUAGGAUUUCUUACUUGCUAGCUCAGUCUUAAUUAUCAUCCAUAAUCAUAAGACUUAUCUUAUGGAGAAUGCUUUCCGCUGGUGUCCUCUUCCUAGGUCACAUGGUGACUGCAGAGCAG